AGUCGAACGGUAACAGGGAUUGCUUGCAAUCCGCUGACGAGUGGCGCACGGGUGCGUAACGCGUAUACAAUCUGCCUUACACUGGGGGAUAGCCUUUAGAAAUGAAGAUUAAUACCCCAUGGUCUAUAGAAGUGGCAUCGCUUUUAUAGUAAAGGUUACGGUGUAAGAUGAGUAUGCGUCCUAUUAGUUUGUUGGUGUGGUAACGGCACACCAAGACUACGAUAGGUAGGGGCCCUGAGAGGGGGAUCCCCCACACUGGUACUGAGACACGGACCAGACUCCUACGGGAGGCAGCAGUGAGGAAUAUUGGACAAUGGGCGAGAGCCUGAUCCAGCCAUGCCGCGUGCAGGAAGACUGCCCUAUGGGUUGUAAACUGCUUUUAUACGGGAAGAAGCACUCCUACGUGUAGGAAUUUGACGGUACCGUAAGAAUAAGCAUCGGCUAACUCCGUGCCAGCAGCCGCGGUAAUACGGAGGAUGCAAGCGUUAUCCGGAAUCAUUGGGUUUAAAGGGUCCGUAGGCGGGCAGUUAAGUCAGGGGUGAAAGUUUGCGGCUCAACCGUAAAAUUGCCUCUGAUACUGAUUGUCUUGAAUUAGUGUGAAGUGGUUAGAAUGAGUAGUGUAGCGGUGAAAUGCAUAGAUAUUACUCAGAAUACCGAUUGCGAAGGCAGAUCACUAACACUAUAUUGACGCUGAUGGACGAAAGCGUGGGGA
rnacentral:rRNA from 1 species